rnacentral:lncRNA from 1 species
GCAACAAAUUUAUGUUCUUUUAAACAAAAAUGGUAUUUAUAUAAAAGUAGUUAAGCUAAAUUACUUAAAACAGAAUUAGAAGAGAAAAUACUUAUGUAAUUAUUUUUCACAAAGUAUACAUAUGAUAAAUGAAUUAUUCUGUAUAUGCAUAUCCCAUCGUUAUUGCAAACAAUACAUAGACUGCAUAUCACUCAACUCACUCUAAAAGUGACGGAUUCAUACAAAAUUACACAUUCAUGCUGAUUAAAUAAAUUUACAUAUAGAUGCUGCAUGUCAUAUCUUAGGUGUUAUUCAUAUAUAUAUAUAUAUAUAUAUAUAUAUAUAUAUAUAUAUAUAUAUAUAUAUAUAUAUAUAUAUAUAUAUAUAUAUAUACUAUACUCUAUAUAGUAUAAUACUAAGACUAAACUUGAGUAAGAGAACUGAAGCAAAAUCACGUGAAAGAUGGUAGAGAUUCAUUCAGAGUUUGGUCUUUGGAAACGAUGCUUGGCGAGUCCAAUAAAUUAGCCUUCC